CGGGGUGGUCAAAUGAGGUGUCUCCGUUUCCGCUCCUCGGGUUAUAAGUCAGAUCACAUUUUUUUUUCGAAAGCUCGCUUGUUGAAGUCUACUUUCUGUAUCACCAUGCAGUGCUAAAUCAGAACAUAUGCUGCCUCAGAGGAGAAAAAAAUGCUGAAGACUGGACGUACAACAGUAUAUGGGCGCCCCCUAGCGUUAGGAUUAUUUCUGGUCAAACUCGCUCUUUAAGGUGGAAGAGCCAUCUUAAAUGGAAACUACAUCGGUCGCUCGCCUCUCACAUACACCAAAGUAACACGCGCCUAUUUUAAUCUGAUUAAUGCUUUUGAGAUUUCCUUCUAAUUGACAUGGACGUUGCAGAGGUGCACUUGUAGGUCUCUUCCACACAUUUUCUCCACAGUGUUGUUCACGCACGGGAGUAUUGCAGCGUUUCGGUUAUUUUUGGGCAGUUUACUGAAACGGUAAAAAGUGAGCACCGUACCUCAUCUCUGACCAUUCAAAAGCCUGUAUGUGAACAAGACAGCCGAAAGCAAUACCGCAGACGUAAAUUAUAGCAUAGCCUACGAUGCAAAGUGGAUUUUAUCCCAAGAUCAAGCAUAGCAAUAAUACCAGACUGCAGCGAGACUGAAGGGAUGCUCCUGACCUGUUACACAAAGUGUUGUAGUGGAAUUAACUGUACUACAGUAUCAAAGAUAGUUUCCACAGGUAUAGCAGCAGCAGUAUAAAGUAUACACGUAAAGUGUCAUACUGAACUUAAACAGGUAGAAUACGACAUUCUGGCAGACUAGCUGUGCAUUGUCUCAGACCUCUGCAGGACUGUGAUGCGGGCAGAGGACACGGCCACUGUGGGAACUGAAGACUACUGAGUGGUGACGUUGACAUCAACACCAAAUGCCUGAUGGGAGGAAAAGCAUCACGCAAAGAUCCCACAAUGACAAAGCAGGGAAGGUAGGCCUUAAUGUAUGCUUUUGACCUACUGGAGCAACUAACCUGUAAUGGAUUCUUUUAUAGGCAAAAGGAUCAUUGGCUCAACUGACAACAAACUGCUUGAAAUCAACGACAUACAUAUUGUAAUUCUGCAAAUAAUGUUAUGAUGUAUGAUUAAAUAAUGCAACUGAACAAGAUGUAGCACUGUAUCUCUCUAGAGAAUGAUGCAAUGAAAAAAAAAAACUUUUCUUGAUGACAAUAGAAGACAUGUUUAAUUAUCAACUGUACAAUAAUUUCUGCCAAAAGCACAAGUAAAUAAACAUGGCUCCUGAAUGCA
ensembl:lncRNA